AAUUUUUUGCGCUAAUUUGCCCACCAAUUAGUAGGGAAAAACUCACAAUAUCAAAUAUUACGUAUUUCAUGUACACCACAAAUUUUACGUAAUUCUGUUCGUAAUUUCCUCUCUAGGUAUGAUUACUCUAAGAUUAAGUCUAAGCACUUUUGUUUGUAUGAGUCGA